rnacentral:rRNA from 1 species
UUCGAAGAGUUUACUUAGAGAAAUUUUUAGUGGCGGACGGGUGAGUAACGCGUGGGUAACCUACCCAUAAACCCGGGACAACCCUUGGAAACGAGGGCUAAUACCGGGUAAUCUUUUGGUUUGGCAUCAAACUUAAAGAAAAGGUGGCCUCUGUAUAUGCUACCGAUUAUGGAUGGACCCGCGUCUGAUUAGCUAGUUGGUGGGGUAAAGGCCUACCAAGGCGACGAUCAGUAGCCGGCCUGAGAGGGUGAACGGCCACACUGGGACUGAGACACGGCCCAGACUCCUACGGGAGGCAGCAGUGGGGAAUCUUCCGCAAUGGACGAAAGUCUGACGGAGCAACGCCGCGUGUAUGAUGAAGGUCUUCGGAUUGUAAAGUACUGUCUUUGGGGAAGAACGACGGAUUUGAAAAUAUUGAGUCCGUAUGACGGUACCCAAGGAGGAAGCCCCGGCUAACUACGUGCCAGCAGCCGCGGUAAUACGUAGGGGGCAAGCGUUGUCCGGAAUUAUUGGGCGUAAAGGGCGCGUAGGCGGAUGUUUAAGUCCGGUGUGAAAGAUCAGGGCUCAACCCUGAGAGUGCAUCGGAAACUGGGCAUCUUGAGGACAGGAGAGGAAAGUGGAAUUCCUAGUGUAGCGGUGAAAUGCGUAGAUAUUAGGAGGAACACCAGUGGCGAAGGCGACUUUCUGGACUG